GCAAACUGCAGUGUCAGACUGUGGGCGGCAUUGGGCUUGCACUCUGCCCAACUCCAGAUACAUCACUAGUCCCAGAUUACUGAAAUGCUCACUUCAAAUGCUUUGGAAAGCGAUCUCACUUUUGCAAUGCAGUUUCUGGUACAAACUGACAAUCAUUAAAAAGGCACAGGGGCAUCUGUGUUGGGAGAAACAGGCUUCUUGCAAACUAGUCCCAACAGAAGGAAAAUCUGCUUGCCAUGCCAGAAUCAAGAAGGGUGUUUCAGGGCUUCGAAGAUGAAGCUAUACAAAGGUAGAAUGCGAAUGCUCAUCUGAUGCCGAGAGAAUGAAAUCUCUUCUCCUGACUUGAGGCAUGAGGCUUCAGCGUAGAUACCAGUGAGUUGACUGAUUUAUGUGGAACUCGGAAGUUACCUUCAGGAUGAAUUUCAGGUGGAGGCAAAUGGAUUCCUUCUCUUUAUGAAAAGCAGUGUAUGUCACGUCAGCCACGAGGGGAUCCAGCUCACCCACCCUCCUGGCUGAUGUAAUGUUGACCAAGAAGGUGACCUUCAGAAACAGUUGACAACAAUCUGGGAUAUUUAUUGAUCCCCCUCCCCGGAUCAGGUCUGCAGAGUGGAAUUGUUGCUUAGUCAGCUUCUAACUUGCUCCUGAAGGGAAAAACCUAUAAUGGCAGCAGGCGGUAAGAGAGACCCAGUUUGGGAAUAUUUUAAUGAAGUUAAUCAACUUGUGCAAAAUGCAUGCGUGCAAAAUACAAACAGUGCAACAAAGAAAUGCAAGGCCUUGUUGCCUGAAUGAAACAUCAUGAGAAGUGUUCCUUCUCAGGAGGAAGCUGCUUUGAAGAUGAUGAAAGGAACAUGUCAAAGCAUGCA